rnacentral:tRNA from 1 species
GGCGGUGAUGAGCAACCAGGUCGCUUGUCAGGCUCAUGUCCUGAAGGUUGUAGGUUCAAAUCCUGCUGCCGCCA